ACAAACAGAAAAUGUUUAGAAAGUUUUUUCUAAGCAAUUCAGCAUGGAAGGACUUACUAAGAUUCUGCCACUCUUCCUAAGACUGGCAGUCACACCUCUCAGUGCUACACUCGGGUGGUUUUUUUUUCUUGAAAUGAUCAGCAUAAGCUUUUUUUCUCAUUGCAAGCAAACAAACAAGCAUCUCUCUUUUUCCAUGCAAACUCACUGUUUAUUGAAACAAGGACCUCUAAUUGUUAUGUGACUUAACAAAGCCAGAGGCCAGCCCAAGAGAGAGAUACCAGUGCCAGCAGCUCAGGAUUUUAGAUUACUGAUUAAUGAAAAGUUAAAGGGGCCCAAUUUUCAGAAGUGGUUUAUCUUUCAAAUUUUUAAACUCACACCCACUCACACAUCCAAACUCACAAGCCACAUUUAAAAAUCAUACAUGUGAAAUCAGUAAGAUACUAAUACCAAUGAGUCUACUACAUAUGUAAUAUUAUACAUUCCAUUUAUACAAAAAAGUACUUUUAACUCAGAAAAAUAUUUUUAUUGCUCCUUCAUGACUAUAUAUCUGCCAUCUCUAACAAUUUCAGUGCCCAUUGCCAGUGUCCAAACAUUCUAUUUUUCACAUUCAAGCUUCAGUUUCAAAAUGAUCUCUUUUUCACCAAAGCUAGCACUCUCCUGCCUGUGUUACUGUCCUUGUGAUGGCUGCUCUCCUGUAGGCAGCUGCAUGUCACCUUGCAGAGCUCCCCUGUGUUGGGGCAUCUGAAGGCAAAGGCAGGAGCAGGGGAGAGAGGAGGUUUGGGUGGUUGAGUUGGAUGGGUUUUCUUUACGUAAACAGCACUUCGGAUUCUGCAGUCUGAGGCAUCUGACUGAAAAGGCUGACAGAGGAGGAGCACAGAGAAGUAUAAGGAGUGAAAGACAAGGAAUGAGGAAUGUUGUUGCAGGAGGUGGUAAUGAGAGCCCAUUUGAUAGCAGUGAAUUGUGGAGGUAUGAGUGGAAAACAAGUGAGGCAGACUGCUGUCUUGCCUCAUGAUGAAAAAGAAGGUAGAACCAUAAAGUAAGCACAGAUGUUCCUCAAAUCAGUAAAUAUUUAGUGUUCAAGAUGAACAGUUUUGAACUGAAUAGGGACAGAUUCCCAUCUCUUCUUCUUACAAAUCCAGGAUGCCUGUGCACUCAUGCAGUAGUUAUUCUCCAAUUUGUUCUCAAUCUUAGCUUGGUAGUAUUUAUCCUUUGGAAAGCAGAAAAAGCAUUUUGUUAUGGACUGAUACAGCAGAAAAAGUAAGAAAGGGAGGAAAAGGGUCACUGGGGAGGUGGAAUCCCUUCCACAGGAGAAAAGGUUUAGAAAACAUGGCUGAGCAGAAGACUAUGGGAGAUCUAUGAAAUUCUGACUAGGGGAUGUGUCACCAUUUCUCUGAUUGCAAUAACUGUGGGAGGAAGGCAGCCAGUUGCAAGGCUUAGAGGUCUAAAGAUCUACAUCUAAUGAAAGGAAGUACUUCUUCACACAAUGUGUGAUUAAAUUGCCACGGAAUCCUGGAAAAAGCAAAGGUAAAAAUAGGUUCAAAGAGAACUUGAUCAAAUUCACAGGAAGAGCCAUUACACAUCUCAUAUUUGGCUUAGGAAGUUCCUGAACAACAGAAUACUAAAUUGGGAAUGUCUACUGGGAGAACUAGUGCUUAGUUCACAGACUUUAUACUUUACACACUCUCCUUUAUACUUUUCCUAAGUAUCUGCUAUGGGCCCCUGGCAGAGAAAAGCUAUCAUACUGGUAUGAGUGAUUAGAGAGACACUAGCAUUAGGUUUACAUUACAGUGAAAAUCUAUUGUGAAUCCAAUCCAUGUUAGUUUUUUUUAGAAAUUGCUUUAAUUUGACCACCAACCUGACAAAUCCCUUAUCUGCACUGAGGUAUACAAACACACAGAACACACACACAACACAUACACAAAAACAUGUGUGCCCACACAGGCACAUGCUGACUGAGGAUUUCUUUUUAGUCAUUUAGUCAGGGUUCACUGACAGCCAAGUCAUUAGUACACAGUGUACUUUUCCACACCUUCCAUAGCACUGGUGAGAAAAGCAAAUGCCUUAGUUCAGGCUUGCUCGUCUCCAUGUUCCUUCCUCCAUUUCACAGCCACCUUCUGCUUUCUCUGGUGCCCUAGACUCUGACAUUCUUCUGUUUCAGAUGACCACUUGUGUUUUCAGUUAACACCCUGGCUUUCCAGUGUAGGCCAAAACCCAAAUGUGAAAGCAUCAAAGUCUGCUUGACAGGAGGAUGUAUUGCUGGAGGCUCUACAUUUCAAGGCUUUCAGGAGUGUGCUCUUAACUGGGUUCAGUAUGAGCUAGUACCAGCAAACCCAGACUCUGCUGAACAAAUGAAAUAGAAUGACCUACUUUUUUUGCCUUUGUUUUAUCUAUAUAAUAGUAUGCUACAGGUUUGCAUGACAGUUUCUUGGCACUGGAUUAUGUAACUUAUCUGUCUUCAAAAGAAAAACAACUUGGCAAUAGAAUAUAGCAUCAGUUCAAAAUUAAAAAAAAAAACUUCCAAGGAAAUGUAUUUUGAAUAAAAUGGAAAUGUAGGAAGGCACUUACUAUCUGCCUGCCUCCAACUCAUCUGUAAAAAAUGCCUAAUAGAUGGUAAUUUUAGUCUCUGACACAGCUUCCUCACUCACUUCCAGGAUGUUUUACUCCUACAAAGUACCAUUUGUGUUCCACAUGAGCCUUUUUUGCUUUGCUCUCACUUAAAACUCCAUACUAGAGGAGAGCUGUUGAAGCUAAUGAUAAAGUUUUUGCAACUUCUACCAUAUAAAACAUUCACAAGUUUACCUAAAAAAAAAAAGGAAAAGGUUCAAAACAGAGGUUUGCUUCUUCUUCUGCUUUCAGGCUUGGUCCUUUUGUACUCAGUUGUGCCCUGCAGGCACAAGGUGUAAUAAUUACAUCUUCAGAGAACUGCAGCAGAUAUUUGGCCUAGGGUGCAGAAAGCCAUGAAACCUCAGACUGGAUAAACCAGUAUGGAGAACAACAGAAUGAAGUGUUUUGAACAACAACAUGGUCACUUGUUGGCAUUCAGCUCUCAGCUUCUAAGUCUUUGGCUUUCUUUUGCAAAACAUGUUUGCAAUUCAACUUAGAUAAUUCCUUCCUUAAAAAAACUUCAAACCCAAAAUUCCAGAAAAGAUAUGAAUUUCAAACCAACAAUCAAUCUCACAGGUAUUUAGGUUAAACUCAGCCUUACUUUACCCACUGACUGUCCUCCUCCUUGGUGGUGGGCUUCUCUGCUAAGGUUGCAGCUGCUGUCAGCAGAACAAAACAAACUGCAGAAGGAGUUAGCAGAUUGGGUACCAUGUUUCUAAUGGCAGGAACAAUAUUCCUGCUCCAACCCCAGUCCUUGCAGCUGCUCAUCUUUGUUCAUCACAUUGUUUAAAGCUAGUUGGUUUAUUUGUUUUUUCCCAACUCUUGGCCUUUUCAUUGCAGAGCAGAGAUGCUGGCUGGAGCACUCAGCCUCCCUCCAGGGCUUGGUCUGGUGCAGGGAGGCUAUUGCCAGCCAGCAGGGUGUGAUCAGAAAUUCAUGGCCAUUUCUGCCAAGGCAGCAGCCCAUCAGCUGGCUGGGAGCCACCAGGGCUGUAAGCAUUCCCUCCACUCACGGCAUUUGUGGCCAGAGAAGGAGAUUGGCCCAAAAAGAUUUGCCUUUUGUGGACCAGAGCAGGAGUUCCUCCUCCAAGGAGGAACAGGUUGGGAGGUGAUGUGGGGAAUGAGUCCCACCAGGAUGGGACUGGCCAGAGGAAUGGGUGUGGGUUGCAAGGGACAUUUAAAGGUCAUCUAGUCCAACUUCCCUGCAAUGGGCAGGGACAUCUUCAACUGGAUCAGGUUGCCCCAAGCCCUGUUCGGCCUGACCUUGAGUGUUUCCAGGGAUGGGACACCUACGACUUUCAGAAUUUCCCACUGGAAUGGCUUCCACCAUGGAGAACAGAGAUAGCCAGAAAAUGCUGCAGAGAAAAGCCAUGCAAGUAGUUCACAGAAUCACAGAAUAUUCUUAGUGGCAAGAGACCCCAAAGGAUCAUCAAGUCCAACUCUUAGCCCUGCACAGGACAUCCCCUAAAUGUCAUAUCACAUACUUUCUGCUUAGCUUACCCAAAACACAGACUUGAAAGGUCUACUCUAAAGAGAAAAGUGUUGAGAAGUUUGAGUUAGCGUUAGGGAAGAACAGCAAAACCUGAGUAUUUUUUCUUGGACAGUAAAUAACCAAACUCAAACACCUACAGGAAAAAACCAGAAAAAUAUGAGUUUAUAUAGUAACAAAAUCCAUAGAUGUGAGGGUUUUUUUUUUCCUGGAGGAGACAGCACAGAGUUUUUGUUUGAUUAUUUGCUUUAUGUUACCAUAUUGCUAUUUCAAAUGAUUCCAUUUUAUACCAUAUCAAGAGGUGUGCUGUGGUAGGGUGUACUUUGUGUAUCUUGUGGUAAGACACAGUUUUGUGCAUCAAGAUAUGGGGGCACCUUCCUUGGUGCCCCAGAAACCAGAGAAGAGGAAGAACGACCAACUGUCUACUGCAGUCUCCUAUGGCAGUGUUCUUCCUCCAGAAACUAUCAUUGUUUCAGUAUUCAAAGAUUCUUGUGAUGGUAAAUCAGGUACAAUUACCAGCUGAUGGUACAUCUAGAAGGAUGAAUGAGACAAUUUUGGAGGUGAGAAUGAAAUAGGAGAAGAUCUUGGGGCAGGCAAGAUAAAUUGCAAGAGAGACUAAAACUGAUUACAGAGCCAUGGGACUGAAAACUCCUUGUUCAAGAAGAAUGCAUGCUAAUUGUUUUUGGCAGAAUAAAUUAUUCCUUUUUUUUCUGCUUCAGUAGAACUGGUUGACUUUUAGCAACUCAAUUAUCUUCUCUAAGUGAGGAGGGUGGUCCCUUGAGGUCAAGAAGAAGUUACAUGUAGAAAGAAAGGACAAACAGAAAUGCACAGAAAUUGAAGUGCCCUGAGAUUGCAUGCAUGAGUUUCAUGAGGUAGAAUUUUCAAAACUGCCCUGGAAGGAAAAAGGGAACAACAUUUUGGUUAGAGUUUUGUCAGCAUCAUGGGGAAGGUCAGGUGAGAGAUAAAAGAUUAACAGCAGUAAGAUCAUGAGGUUGAAAAAAAUGUGUACCAAUUUCUCUCCAAGAGAAUGACCAGACAGAGUUACUCUAUAAAUGCUAGAAAUCACAGAGCUGCUGUUAGGGAAUGGGUCUGAAAAAUAUUAUUGAAAACCAGCAGCAUAAAAACUGAGGAUAAGAUAAACAGCAGCAACGGAUCCAGUCGUAAUGUGGUCAGGUAGCAGGAAGCACAUUUAUCCUUUGAGCAGUACAAGAGGAGGAGGAGGACUGAGGCAUUUGUCUUGGCAGGAGGCCCAGGAGAAAGUGAAGGGCCAAUGAAAGGUCUGAGGCGAGAUGGAAGACUGAAGAGAGAGAGCUCUCCUGUGAAGAUGCUCUGUUUUUGAAUUACUUAGGCCAAGAAAUGGAGGCAAACCACUUUGCUUACCUGGUCCAAACACAGAAGAAGGAAUAUUUAAAAGGACAUGAGGAGGUAAGACUCCCUAGUGUGAGAAUCACAAUCGUAUGAGGUGAAGGAAAGGGGAAGGAAAGAGCAGGAAGCCAAGAAGAAGACUGAAAGUUGUGGUAGGGCUUUUGGUGCAUUAGGCAAAGAGCUUUAUUGUUUUGUAACAGUGUAAUUAAUAGCUUAGACUGUCAAGGAAACACGAUCAAUUUACUGUAUUUAUCCUUCCUGCUGUGUCAUUCUUCUCAUUUUACAUUUAUUUAGUAUUUUUGGAAUAUUUUUAAAGACAUUAAUUUCUCAAAGAUUCAGCUAAAAGGGGCUUUUCUUAGGCUUUGCAGAUGUUAUGGUGCAGGAACAGUGAAGAAUGUACUGUAUUUACAAUUCCAUUCCUGUAACAGAUAAUCAAUACAUUGUGCUCUGCUGUGUUAUGAAAAAAAAAAAAGGAGUAUGAGUGCCCAGCUGUGAUGAUAAGCCCUUUGUGUCUUGAGUGCACUCAUUUUCUAAGGAUUAGGGGCUGUCCUUUAUCAGGCAGUUCACUUCUGAAAGUCCAUGAUAGAUUGCUGCUUUCCCCUCUGCUCCAAACAGCAGCAACCUCAACUUUAUCAGCAAGGAAACCCCCAAACACUGCUGUCAGUAGCUUUUCCAGAAAAUUAAUUGCAAAAUUCAAGGUUUGGGAGAGCUUAGAACACUAUCGUUGCUUCACAGAUGUUGCGGUCAGGCAGACGGAGCCCAUGUGAAUGAGAAAACCACAGGUUUCUUAUUUUGAGUCCACAAUUAAAGCCUCCAAGUUUCAAGGCUGGCAAGGUUGUAGUAAAGAGGAAACCAGACUCACAGGGAGGAAAGAAGAGGCAAGCAAGAAGAUGCCAAUAAAGGCAGAGAAGACAGAAAAUGGAGGUAGAAAGAAAAGUCUGCACAUACUCAAGGAUCUCCACUGCUUUCCUGUGAUACUGGCGCCUCACUGGACCCAUGAGGCAUUUUUGCAAUACACAUAAUAAAGAAAUGGUGGUAAGAGACACAUGGAAAAGAACAAUUAAGAACAACAAUGAGAAAAAAAUUUACAGGAAUGUGCCUCAUUAGAGUUAUGAUAAUAAACAAUUAUCUGUAUUUCUGGUGAUAAUGAUCCUGAAGUUCACUCUCUUUACUUAU